UUGGUGGCCAUGGAACCUGAGCCUGUGUGAGGUUGCUCUUUUUUUGUAGUUCUUUCAGACUAGAUUCAAUAUGUGAGAAAGGUUGCCAUUUACUUUUGACCCAACACAGGUUGCCAAAGUAAUAUGCAAACAGACCUACUAUGUAGUAACUGGGAGUGGGUUCAGAGACAAUCUGAAUGUCUAGGACAACUUGUGCAGAUGUGAAGAAAUGAAACCCUCUGUUGUUUUCCAGCACCCCUGCCCAGCAAUUGUGGCAGUGCAUAUGCAUCAUCAGAUCAUUGCCUGGGAAUGAGAUUGCUUGACCCAUUAUGCAGCCACAGCCAUAAGAAAUACACUGUGCUCCUAUUAUUGCUUUUUACCAUUUGCAACCCACUUG